GUAAGGAAUAUUGGUCAAUGGAGGCAACUCUGAACCAGCCAUGCCGCGUGCAGGAUGACGGCCCUCUGGGUUGUAAACUGCUUUUAUUCGGGAAUAAACCUACUUACGUGUAAGUAGCUGAAUGUACCGAAGGAAUAAGGAUCGGCUAACUCCGUGCCAGCAGCCGCGGUAAUACGGAGGAUCCAAGCGUUAUCCGGAUUUAUUGGGUUUAAAGGGUGCGUAGGCGGCCUAUUAAGUCAGGGGUGAAAGACGGUAGCUCAACUAUCGCAGUGCCUUUGAUACUGAUGGGCUUGAAUACACUAGAGGUAGGCGGAAUGUGACAAGUAGCGGUGAAAUGCAUAGAUAUGUCACAGAACACCGAUUGCGAAGGCAGCUUACUAUGGUGUGAUUGACGCUGAGGCACGAAAGCGUGGGGAUCAAACAGGAUUAGAAACCCUGGUAGUCC
rnacentral:rRNA from 1 species